UUCUCUUCUCAUCCUGUUCUGUCCUCUUCAGUGUCGAAGUUGUUCCUCACUGUUGAGAGAUUAUUGCUCAUUGAUAGAAGUCGUUGCCCCACCGUUGUUGCUCGUUAAGAUGGCGUUACUGGUUUGAAGUAAGGAGUGUUGAAAUGGCAGAUCAUUCUAACAUUUCCUUUCUUUUUCCGAUUUCAAUUCUAAUCUUCAUUGCUGAAUUUUCACCCAAGGCAAGGAUCUACCUAUCCUCCUUCUCCUCCGCCGCCAGACACCUGCGCAAUGGUGCUUUCUUAUGAAGGUUAUCUAACGCCUGUGUAUUCCGAAUACCCUCUGUCGCUACCUCCUUUGCGUCCCCAGUAUCAAGGGUACCAAGGUUAUUUCAAUGACCAAUAUCAACAACCGCCUCCUCCACCUUAAUCAUACCCCAAUCACUAUCAUCAACACCAUGAGACCAACUGUCUUUCCAUCUUGCGAGGACUUAUGCAGCUGUUAGGCCCAGCAGAAAAUGGGGCUAGAUAUAUGCAGGAAAGAAGAAAGGAAGCCCAACCAAUUGAAGCAACCGUGACAAGGCUAGAAAGGGCAUAAUGGGAAAUAGAGCUGAGUAACGGAUAUUUUGAUUAUGUCAGAUAGUGGGAGUGCGUUAAAAAGAGGGAGAGGAGGCCAUAUUGGGCAAGAAGUGUGUCAUUAGUAGGAGAGGGUUAUGGUCUCUCAAAUACUAGGAGGGGAGGGAGCUGUUCUGUUUGAGCAUUCUCUAAGUUUGUGAGUUUAUGCUUUGGGUGAUUAAGGAUUGUAUUCCUCUACAUUUUCCAUUGGUAAUAGAAGUCUACUAGAAUAUAUUUCAUAUUUGGCAUUGAGUUAUUUUUCAAGACCUAACAUUUUGGUAUCAGAGCAGUUGAUUCUGGGCAUGGUCAAUACGGGGAUGGAAAAUAGAGUCGACCAACUUGAAGAAGUGGUGAUAGAGUUACAGAGGAAACAAGGAGAGACAACGGAGAAACUUACAGGAGUGGAGGGAACAGUGAGACUAAUUUCGGACCAGCUCACUGAACUUCGAAAUCUGAUUACAGUAGCCAACAGAGACAUAGGAAGAAUUAAGGAUGGGCAUAUUGAAGGAGAGAAAGUGGAGGAGCCUAGAAAUAUUUCAACGAGUCAUGGUGAACGGAACGAACGAGGAGAGGAGGAAACGAGACAAAAUGAUAACAAACACUUCAGACGUCUGGAGCUCCCUAUAUUCAAUGGAGAUGACCCUUUAGGGUGGAUGUUCCGUGUAGAAUGUUAUUUGACUAUCAACAAGAUUAGCGAACAAGACAAGCUUGAUGCUGCUAUCGUAAGUCUAAAAGGUAAAGCCUUAACCUGGUUUUAGUGGCUCGACACUCGAGCUGUAGUGAGAUCUUGGCAAGAGUUUAAGAAGGAAGCAAUAGAGUGGUUCCAUGGUAAGCAGGCUAGUGAUGAGUACGAGUAGUUGCUCACCUUAAAACAAGAAGAAAUGGUUCCCGAGUAUAGAGAGCGUUUUGAGUUCCUCUCUGUGCCUCUUCGGGAUGUGUUAGAGGAGAUGAUGAUGGGGGCAUUUAUGAAUGGGCUUAAGGAGGAAAUUUGGUGCGAUGUCAAAUUAAUGCAUCCCCGAAAUCUGACGCAACGUAACUGAUGGAUUUUUCGAAUCAAGUGGAAGAUAGGAAUCGUGUGAAGGAAAAACUAGAGGAGAAGAAGAGUAAGGCUUCAAAACCUUCCUCGGCAGGGUGCUGGAGUGAUUUUCGAAGCUUUAUGCCCAGGUUCAGCCCAGUGGAUACUGUAAGAAAUGCAGCGUCGCCUCUCACGGUGAAGACGACCUUUGGUAAGGCAAGAGAUGAGGCCAAAAUGACGGCACAAAAAGGAGUUAACCCAGUGCUAACCACUGCCAGCAGUAACAGUAACAGUAUGAGGAGGAGGCUUUUGGAGGUUGAAAUAAACAGACGCUGUGAGCUGGGCUUAUGCUUCAAGUGUGAAGAGAAGUUUAGGCCUAACUAUAAGUAUAAAAAUAAACAGCUCCAGCUUCUUGUAUUGAAAGAAGAGGAAAUAGAUGAAAUUGGGCCUGGCAAGGCCCACGAGCUAAGUAACCAGAUGGCUGAGAAGGCAAUGUCUUCAAUGGAGCUUUCCAUGACUAUUGCAAUUGGGCUCACGAGAAAACGAACUCUAAAAAUGGUGGGAGAAGCCCAUGGACAAAAGGUGGUGAUAUUGAUUGACUGUAAGGCAACUCAUAAUUUCGUGGCCCACACCCUCAUUAAACAGCUCAGGAUUCCAAUGGAGACAGUCAAGAAGUAUUUUGUGAUAGUGGGAGAUGGGCGAUGAAUUGAAUCAGACCUGAAAUGCCCAGAGAUUAUGCUGAAAAUAUAAGGGGUAGAGAUCAAACAGACGUUCUACCCUUUCAAUUUGGGAAAUGUCAACUUGGUCUUGUGAGUGGAGUGGCUCGCGUCGCUGGGUGAAACUUGCAUGAAUUGGAGGUAGUUGUAUAUGAAGGUGAGAGUGGACAAACAAUGGGUUUGCCAUUGUAGGGAUUCAAUGCUAACGCAAUUGCCUACUGCAUUCAAUCGAUCAAGAAAUCCAUUUUGGAGGAACGAGUUGGAUAUAUCCUUGAGUUGAGAGCAAUCAACAAGAGUAUAGAAAGCAUAUUGGAUUCUAAAGCCUCAGACUUAAGCGACAUACUCACUAAAUUUCCGAACGUGUGCUACUCACUGGAGGCCUACCCCCUAAAAGGUCACAAGACCAUGCUAUACUGGUCAAGGAAGGUGCUUAGCCCCCCAACACACGACCCCAUCGCUACAGGAACUCUCACAAAGAACACCUGUGAAAGACCUUAGAGCUACUGAAGCAGAACCAAUUAGUAGUGAAUCCUAAGAAGUGUGUGUUUGGGCAGACUCAGGUUGAGUAUUUGGGGCAUAUCAUAUUUGUUGAAAGGGUGAAAGUUGAUCACAGUAAGAUCUCGACAAUGAAAAAAUGGCCGAAACCUAGGAGCUUGAAGGCUCUUAGGGGCUUCUUGGGUCUAACUGGGUACUAUAGGAAGUUUGUAAAGGACUAUGGAAAAAUUGCAGCCCCUCUGACACAAUUGCUAAAGAAGGACUCUUUCUUAUGGGAUGAGAAAGUGCAGAAAGCAUUUGAAGAUCUAAAAUUAGCCAUGACAACUCUUCUAGUGCUUACCAUGCUAGAUUUCAAACUCCCCUUUAAUAUAGAAGCGGAUGCCUCGGCUAAAGGAAUAGUGGCAAUAUUAAUGCAGAAGUGAUGCUCCAUUGUUUAUUUUAGCCAGAAGCUUUCAGAAAGACAGCAACAAUGUUCGGUCUAUGAAAGGGAAUUAAUGGCAAUUGCACUAGCAGUCAAAAAGUGGCAGCAUUACUUGACUAAUUAACCUUUCAUAAUCAAGACCGAUCAGUAGGCGCUAAAAUAUCUGAUGGAGAAAAGAAUAAUUGCACUUGACCAAAAAAAGUGGGUAUCUAAAUUAAUGGGUUAUCAGUUCCAAAUACACUGCAAGUCGGGAAAAGAGAACCGUGCAGCUGAUGCUCUCUCUCAGCAACACAAUGAACUAGAGAUGAGGGCUGUGUCAUUAUGGCAGUAUGAAGGCAUAACAGAUUUAGAGUUCAAAAUUCUACAAGACGAGCACUUGAGAACCUUGACUUAGCAAUUGAUACAAGGGAAGGAGGUACCUAAGGGAUAUACACUACGAAAUGGGGGUUUUUUUUUAAGGGCGAUUGGUACUACCCAAGAAUUCAUCCAAAACUAAGGAAUUGAUUCAAGAAUUUCAUGAUUCA